UACGGAGGAUCCAAGCGUUAUCCGGAUUCAUUGGGUUUAAAGGGUGCGUAGGCGGAAGCGUAAGUCAGUGGUGAAAGCCUGCAGCUUAACUGCAGAAUUGCCAUUGAUACUGCUCAUCUUGAGUACAUUUGAUGUGGGCGGAAUGUGUCAUGUAGCGGUGAAAUGCAUAGAUAUGACACAGAACACCGAUUGCGAAGGCAGCUCACAAAACUGUAACUGACGCUGAGGCACGAAAGCGUGGGGAUCGAACAGG
rnacentral:rRNA from 1 species